rnacentral:rRNA from 1 species
AACGAACGCUGGCGGCAUGCCUAACACAUGCAAGUCGAACGAUGGUCUUCGGAUCAUAGUGGCGCACGGGUGCGUAACGCGUGGGAAUCUGCCCUUGGGUUUGGAAUAACAGUUGGAAACGACUGCUAAUACCGGAUGAUGUCGAUAAGACCAAAGAUUUAUCGCCCGAGGAUGAGCCCGCGUCGGAUUAGCUAGUUGGUGGGGUAAAGGCCUACCAAGGCGACGAUCCGUAGCUGGUCUGAGAGGAUGAUCAGCCACACUGGGACUGAGACACGGCCCAGACUCCUACGGGAGGCAGCAGUGGGGAAUAUUGGUCAAUGGGCGCAAGCCUGAUCCAGCAAUGCCGCGUGAGUGAUGAAGGCCUUAGGGUUGUAAAGCUCUUUUACCCGGGAAGAUAAUGACUGUACCGGGAGAAUAAGCCCCGGCUAACUCCGUG